rnacentral:rRNA from 1 species
AUGUUAAACUUACCAUGGCUGGUGGCGGGCGAUUUUAAUGAAAUCCUUCAUACACAUGAGAAGGAGGGAGGUAUUGCAAGAUUGCAGCGAUGCAUGCAGGCUUUUAGCGAUGCUCUAAGCGACUGUGCAUUGGACGAUUUGGGUUACAUAGGAGAUAAAUUUUCUUGGCGCCGAGGACAUAUUCGGGAACGCUUAGAUCGAGCUGUUGGUAAUAUGCAGUGGGCUGAUUUGUUCCCUAGUUUUGGAGUAUCCAAUGAAGAGUUUAACAAAUCAGACCAUAGGCCGGUCCUGAUCAAUACCAAUUUUCAGAUCGGCAUGCUGCCGCGAGGUGCACCUGGACCGUGCAGGUUUGAGGCACGUUGGUUAGCAGAGGAGGACGUCGAGACUAUCAUCCAGACAUCCUGGGAGGCGCGCAAAGCUCUGGGGGUAGCACCCUUUGCUGAACUCACAGCUGAUGUACAUCAAGCGCUGCAUAGUUGGGACAAGAAGGUACUCAAAGGACCUCGUACAAAGCUUCGGGAGCUCCAAAAGAAACUGAAUGAAGUGCUAUCUGGGCCUUUAACUGAUGACACGGUUAUAAGGCAACAUGAACUACACAUGCAAAUUGAGAAACUACUAGAGCAGGAGGAGCUCUACUGGAUGCAGCGAGGACGAGCUGAUUGGCUUACCCGUGGUGACAAAAACUCUGAUUUCUUUCAUAGGGUAGCAAAUGGUCGGCGUAAGAGAAACUUUAUCAAGCGUUUACAAAGAGAGAAUGGCACAUGGAUUGAAGACCGGGGGAGAUAA